CGAAAGUGGACCAAUCUUCGAAGCAAUGCAAUACGAGACCGAUCCGAGGACGGGGUUGAGCAAGUUCACAGCACCCAUCCGGCGAAGAAAAGUACAGUUAUUAUCCAUAGUCUCAAAAUUGAGACCACUGAAGAAACUACACUGCAAAAGCUGAUGCUACACAAGAUGUAGACUCACGAAGCCCAGAAGUUUC
rnacentral:snRNA from 1 species